rnacentral:rRNA from 1 species
GACGAACGCUGGCGGCGUGCUUAACACAUGCAAGUCGAACGGAAAGGCCCUGCUUUUGUGGGGUGCUCGAGUGGCGAACGUGUGAGUAACACGUGAGUAACCUGCCCUGGACUUUGGGAUAACUUCAGGAAACUGGGGCUAAUACCGGAUAGGAGCUCCUGCUGCAUGGUGGGGGUGGGAAAGUUUCGGCGGUUGGGGAUGGACUCGCGGCUUAUCAGCUUGUUGGUGGGGUAGUGGCUUACCAAGGCUUUGACGGGUAGCCGGCCUGAGAGGGUGACCGGCCACAUUGGGACUGAGAUACGGCCCAGACUCCUACGGGAGGCAGCAGUGGGGAAUAUUGCACAAUGGGCGGAAGCCUGAUGCAGCAACGCCGCGUGCGGGAUGACGGCCUUCGGGUUGUAAACCGCUUUCGCCUGUGACGAAGCGUGAGUGACGGUAAUGGGUAAAGAAGCACCGGCUAACUACGUG